AGAUUGAACGCUGGCGGCAGGCCUAACACAUGCAAGUCGAGGGGUAGAGGAAGCUUGCUUCCUUGAGACCGGCGCACGGGUGCGUAACGCGUAUACAAUCUACCUUUACAGAGGGAUAGCCCAGAGAAAUUUGGAUUAAUACCUCAUAGUAUUUUCGAAUCGCAUGAUUUGAUUAUUAAAGUUCCAACGGUAAAAGAUGAGUAUGCGUCCCAUUAGCUAGAUGGUAAGGUAACGGCUUACCAUGGCAAUGAUGGGUAGGGGUCCUGAGAGGGAGAUCCCCCCACACUGGUACUGAGACACGGACCAGACUCCUACGGGAGGCAGCAGUAGGGAAUUUUGGACAAUGGGCGCAAGCCUGAUCCAGCAAUGCCGCGUGCAGGAUGAAGGCCUUCGGGUUGUAAACUGCUUUUGUACGGAACGAAGCGGUGAGCUCUAAUACAGUUUGCUAAUGACGGUACCGUAAGAAUAAGCACCGGCUAACCACGUG
rnacentral:rRNA from 1 species